rnacentral:lncRNA from 1 species
CAUGGUUUUUUCUGCUUAAUACCCUAAAUCCAUUAGUCAAUCUUAAAAUUGCUAAGAGCGAGGAAAAUUGACGUUCUAUUCCUCCGGAUCCUGCUCGAGAAGCUGGGGGACUCGGGUCCGGUGCCGAGGUGUGGCCCGAGCCUGGCACCACCCACGCCGGCCGGGUGACCCCGGCCCCUUGGGGCUCCCGCGCUCCGUCAGCAGGCGACGCUGGGAGGCUGGGGUAGGCCCAGAGCGAGGACGGGCCCGGACUGGGUAGUGGGGAUGUACCAGGGCCGGGUGCGGCGGGAGACGGCCCGGGAGGCGGAAGGUCGCGGACCUGCCCGACAGAAGAGUAGAUGAGGGGAGACCGAGGACGCCCGGGUCCGGGGAGCUUACGAGGAGGCCAGGAUCGCGGGGUCUUAAGAUAUGAAGACAAUGGGAUAACUGAGGCUGAUUUUGCUGUGUGGCCAUUAGACCUAGAAAUAUUGGUGUGAUUCUGGAGUUGAUUGCUCCACACGUUUAUUUAUUUAUUUUCCUUUUUUUCCCUCCUCUUCCUCCUCCUCUAUUCUUUAAAAACGUAUGGAAAUGUAUCCGGCAAUGUUUACUGUAAAAAAUAAUGUAUGGAAAUGACUACAAUUUGCUAAAAUAAAAAUCAUUGAGCACUUAUGUGUGUCAGACACUAUGCUAGGUAUAAAGAGGGGAAGAUGGUGUCCCUAUUCAAAAGAGAGUCACACACACUUAAGUUACAGUGCAGUCAUAAAUACCAUGAUCGCAGUAUGCACAGGUCCAUUUUCUCUAUCUGGGUGAUGGGAAGGUUCAAAACUAAGCUAGGUUUUGAAUGAGGAAUAGUUUCAUUUUGAAGCACAUCCAUUUUGCGAUGCCUCUGGAGCUAUCUAGUGAACAAUUUAGAUGCGUGGUUCAGAAGCUCGAUGGGAGGCUUGGGAACACAGAAUGUGUAAAAUAAGCAUCAGUCUCCCUUUCACCCUCUCUGCACUUUUUAAGGGUCAUCUGUCUUUAGUAUAUAUUGGUAAGAGAUUUUAUGGAGGAUACCAAUUCUUUUUUUUUUUUUUUGAGACAGAGUCUCACAUUGUCACCCAGGGUGGAGUGCAGUUGCACGAUCUCUGCUCACUGCAACCUCCGCCUCCCGGGUUCAAGCGAUUCUCCUGCCUCAGCCUCCCAAGUAGCUGGGAUUACAGGUGCCCACCACCAGGCCCAGCUAAUUUUCGUAUUUUUAGUAGAGACGGGGUUUCACUAUGUUGGCCAGGCUGGUCUUGAACUCCUGACCUCGUGAUUCACCCACCUCGGUCUCCCAAAGUGCCGGGAUUACAGGUGUGAGCCACCGUGGCCUGCCAGCAUACCAAUUCUUAUGAGAGAAUGUCAGGGGUAGAAGAGAUCCAAGGAAAUGGUUGACCAGGUAAAAAACUGAUAAAGGUCAAAUAGAAAUAAGCCUGAGAAUUGCCCCAUCAGAUUUGGUUUAGUGUUUAGUAGGUAUAGUUAUAGUGCCAGAUAUAUAAUAACUGAGUUCCUUUUGAAAGCAUAUAGUAAAAUCAAAUCUGAUUAGCCUAAGUAACAGAGGUGAUUUAUUGUAAUGAUUCUGGGGUAUCUGACAGAUUGUAGAUAUUCUCUCUAGGGUGCUCCUAUCCAAUAUAAAUUUCUGUAAUGAUGAAAAUGUUCUAUGUCUGCUGUGUCUUAAUAUGGUAACCAUUAGCCAAAAGUGCUACUGAGCAUAUGAAAUGUAGCUAGUGCAACUGAGACCCUGUAAACUAAGAUUCCAGUCAAAGAGAAGGGAAAAAACAGUGAGCUUUGCCCACAGUCUUUAAGACCUGUGCCCAGAAAUAGUACAUAAUAUUUCUGCUUACAUUCCACUGGAAAUAACUUAGUCACAUGAUCACACCUAACUGCAAGGAAGCCUGGGAAAUGUAGAUUAGCAGUGUACCCAGAAAGACUGAGAAAAUGGUUUUGGUGAACAACUAGCAGUGGUCAGAAUACAAAAAGUAAUAAUACAGAUUUCCUGCUUUCAAGAAUAUCACAGGUUUAGUGGGAGACAGAUGAGUAUUUUACUAGCAAUGAAUAAAGAACAUGCUAUACAAACCCAAAGAAAACAGUAGAUAUAGCCUGGAUAUUUGUUCCUACCUAAAUCUCAUGUUGAAUUGUAAUUCCCAGUGUUGGAUGUGGGGCCUGGUGGGAGGUGAUUGGAUCAUGAGGGUGAAUUUCUUGUGAAUGGUUUAGCACAAUUCCUUGGUGCUGUCCUCAUGAUGGUGAGUGAGUUCUCAUGAGAUCCGGUUGUUUAAAAGUGUGUGGCACCUUGGGAGGCUGAGGCAUGAGAAUCGUUUGAAUCUGGGAGGCAGAGGCUGCAAUGAGCUGAGAUCAUGCCACUGCACUCCAGCCUGUGUGACAAAGCAAGACUCUCUUUUAAAAAAAAGUGGCACCUCCCCCCUGCCUGUGUUCCUGCUUUUGCCAUGUGACUUACGCGCUCCCACUUUGCCUUCCGUCGUGAGUAAAAGCUUCCUGAGGCCCCCGCCAGAAGCAGAUAUCAGUGCUAUGCUUCCUAUACAUCCUGUAGAACCAUGAGACACGUAAACUUAUUUUCCUGUAAAUUACCCAGUCUCUGGUAUUUCUUUAUAACAAUGUAAGAACAGCCUAAUACAAUGGUAUUUCUCAAAUCUUAAUGUACGUAUGGAUCACCUGGGAAUCUUGUUAAAAUAUACAUUCUGGGCCGGGCAUGGUGGCUCACACCUGUAAUCCCAGCACUUUGGGAGGCUGAGGUGGAUGGAUCACUUGAGGUCAGGAGUUCGAGACCAGCCUGGAUGACAUGGUGAAACCCCAUCUCUACUCAAAAUACAAAAAUUAGCUGAGUGUGGUGGCACACACCUGUAAUUCCAACUGAUCGUCUCAUUGAUGCAGAGGUUCGGCAGGUUUCCUACAAGUUUGAUUGGGCAGGACCCUUGUUCAAUUUUUCUUUAAUUCUCUUCACUCUGCCCUUUGUCUUCAGGCUGGCUUCCUUUGUGGUAAGUGAGAUGAUGGCAAAUUUACACAUCUUACAAAGAAAAUAUAGUUUUGUUUUUUUUUUCUAAAAUUGAACAUCCUUUAUGAGCCUCUACCCCAGUAUAUAGAAGGGAAAGUCUUUAUGUUGACAAAUAAUGGUACUUCCUUUUUUUUUUUUUUUUUUUUGGUACCUAAGUCUCUUUCUUAUCAAUGUUCUAUCUUGCAGAUUUUCUUUCUCUCAUUCUAAUCAACCUACAAAGUGGAUCAAUGGUGAUAGUGGGCUGGGCGCAGUGGCUCACACCUGUAAUCCCAGCACUUUGGGAGGCCGAGGUGGGCAGAUUACUUGAGGUCAGGAGUUUGAGACCAGCCUGGCCAAUAUGAUGAAACCCCCAUCUCUACUAAAAAUACAAAAAUUAGCCAGGCGUGGUGGCACACACCUGUAAUCCCAUCUACUCAGGAGGCUGAGACAGGAGAAUCGCUUGAACCCAGGAGGUGGAGGUUGCAGUGAGCCGAGAUAGUGCUACUACACUCCAGCCUGGGAAACAGAGCAAGACUCCGUCUCAAAGAAAAAAAAAAUUAGCCGGACAUAAUGGUGCGCGCCUGUAGUUCCAACUACUUGGAAGGCUGAGGCAGGAGAAUCGCUUGAACCUGGGAGGCGCAGGAUGCAGUGAGCCAAGAUUGCGCCAUUACACUCCAGCCUAGGUGACAGAGCAAGACUCCAUCUCCAAAAAAAAAAAGAUAGUGAUAGUGGUAGGAGGGAUUAUAUGCCCUUAUGGUAUAGGGGAAGAGAGUGCUUGUAAUUAACCUUUGGUUAUAAAUAUAUAAGUAUAUAUUUACAUAAUUAUAAAUAUAUAAUCUAUAUUCUUAUUUGGUGUGUUCAGGUUACUGUAACAAAAUACCAUUGUGAAAGUUGUCAUAGUCUGACCGGGCGUGGUGGCUCACACCUGUAAUCCCAGCACUUUGGGAGGCCGAGGCGGGUAGAUCACUUGAGGUCAGGAGUUCAGGACCAGCGUGGCCAACAUGGUGAAACCCCAUCUGUACUAAAAAUACAAAAAUUAGCCUGGCAUGGUGGUAGGCGCCUGUAAUCCCAGAUACUAAGGAGGGUGAGUCAGGAGAAUUGCCUGAACCCAGGGAACGGAGGUUGCAGUGAGCUGGGAUCAUGCCACUGCACUCCAGCCUGGGUGACAAAGCAAGAGUCCAUCUCAAAAAAAAAAAAAGGAAGAAAGUUGUCUUAGUCAAAAUAGAGUCACUAAUGUUAAGAAAACCCUGACAAACAGAGCUGAGGAGGACCAUGAAGAGAGGGUUCUCACAUUUACAUGCUGGUAACAAGAAAAACUCUGCAACCUCACACAAAGGCCAUUGCAAUCAUUAACAAAAAAUGCUUCCGAAAGGACAUCUGCCCAGCAACUGCCCGUUCAACUUCAGACUGGUGUCACCCUUGUUGUUGAUCUUUGUAGCGAAGUAUAAUUAUUUCAAAACAAUUAUGUAAUUCUCAUUUUUUUCCUUCAGAAACCAUACACACAUAGUUUACUGUGGCAUGCGUAUUUCCAUUGCAGUGCUGUAUUUUCAAAUAAACAUCAUUUUCUUUUGGAAAGUCUCUCUCUGUUUGCUGUUUAGAUUGACAUACGUGGUGUCAGAAGUGAGACCUGAAGAAAAGUUCACUAUUGAAAGGAAUCAGCUAUGCUUGGAACCAGUUUGCAGAGUACUCACUUGAACUCUUUGAGCUCUCCACUUCCACAGCUUGCCUUUUCUGGCUUGGUUGCCGAGAGCUUGAUUAUGAUGUGUCCAUGGUGGUUUUGUCUAUUCUGCUCUGGGUUCAUUGAGUUUCCUGGAUCUGUAAGCUUAUAGUUUUCAUCAAAGCACAGUAAGUGAAUGGUAUGCAAUGCAGGUGGACUGAGGUGCCUACUAUAUCUGAUGUGCAUAGCUGAGAUCACAUGUAUGCCCAGCAUCCAAUUCUUUAGGAAAGCAUUUCUUUCCUAUUCCAUAUGGUUUGCAUGACCACUAUGCCCCAAGACUAGUCCAUGACUCAAGCUGGACUCGUUGAUCAGAGCCCUUCCUAGGACUUCUCUGUUAACUGUAUCUCCAGGUUAGAGCUAACAGGAUGUAACACUGCCCAUACUCUCCCAGGAGUCACAGGUAGACAAAUUGCAAGAGCAGAGUGACAUGAAAAGAGAGGAACUGAGCUAGAGAAGGCCCUGAAAAUAUUGAGGCUGGGGAUGUAGUCAGGUGGAAGUUGCCUAUACAUGGACAUUUUAGUUUUGAGGGCCAAUAAAUUAUUCUUUUGCUAAAACUAACAUGAGACUUUUGUUAUUUUUAUUUUUGCUCAACUAAAAUGCAGUGCUUAUAAUGCCACACUAGGAAUCUGUAAUUUCUUGAGGAAAAAGGUAGGAGUAUAUUUAGAGUUACAUUUUUUUUUUUUGAGACAGAGUCUUGCUCUGUCACCCAAGCUGGAGUGCAGUGGUGUGAUCUUGGCUCAGUGCAACCUCUGCCUCCCAGGUUCAAGCAAUUCUUCUGACUCAGCCUCCCGAGUAGCUGGGAUUACAGGUGCCCACCACCAUGCCUGGCUAAUUUUUGUGUUUUUUAGUACAGAUGGGGUUUCACCAUUUUGGUCAGGCUGGUCUCGAACUCCUGACCUAACGAUUCACCCCCCCUUGGCCUCCCAAAGUGCUGGGAUUACAGGCAUGAGCCACCAUACCUGGCUACAUUUUUUAAAGGAAUAUAAAACUACUUCUUGACCACUGUUCACCAGUAUUCACAAUAAACAAUAUACAAUUGGAAUAACACUCUGACUACUACAAAAUUAUUUUUCCUGGCUUCUGGUGAACCAGUAAAAUGAAUAUAGAAAAGAGUGUAAGGGAUGAGCAGGGAUAAAGAAAAAACAUCCAGAUCAAUAGUUUAAGAUAAAGCUUUGUUCUUCCAGGUCCUAAACUGCAACCAUCUCUAACCAUCUGAUUAGGUUUCCAUGAACCAAGCCUCA